rnacentral:rRNA from 1 species
AUGGCAUCCCUCACCAUGCUAGUCGGCUGGACCAUCUGGAAAGAGAGAAAUGCUCGUGUAUUCCAACACAAAUCAACUCCGGAACCGGUCAUCUUCAGUAUCAUCAAAAGGGAGGCUAGACUUUGGGUUAUCGCGGGUGCGAAAAAAUUGGGAAACAUAAUACCGGAAGAGUAA